rnacentral:RNase_P_RNA from 1 species
GGAGUCGGCCAGGCAAUCGCUGCACGCUUGCGUGUGGAGGAAAGUCCGGGCUCCAUUGGGCAGGGUGCCAGGUAACGCCUGGGCGGCGCGAGCCGACGGCCAGUGCAACAGAGAACAGACCGCCGAUGGCCCACCAUGUGGUGCACAGGUAAGGGUGAAACGGUGCGGUAAGAGCGCACCGCGCGACCGGCAACGGAAGCGGCACGGUAAACCCCACCCGGAGCAAGGCCAAAUAGGGGAAC